GAUCCUGGCCGCAAUGGCUGUCCAGGGACGUAGGUCCAGUUAAGGCCCCGAGAACUUUGGAGAGGCGCGGGGAGCCUGCAUCCCGGGCCCAGGGAGUCUUCUGAAUGGUGAUCCUGUGCUCUUUCCUGUGGCACAACCUCUACAGCCUCUGGAUGUCUCUCAGGAUCCCUACAAAGGAGAUCUCUUUGUAACUCUACUUGGCUUAUGGAAAAAUGGGCCACAGAGUUCCAUACCCCAUGGCGCCUUUAGGCUGGGUAUCAGAAUUCCCAGACCUGGAACCCACCUCCUCUGUCCUGUCCAUCCUUUUGAGGAAGCUCUUUGAGAGGAAGGACCCAGAUUCUACCAGAGGUUUCUGUACUGUGCACUACUGAGAAAAGCACUGUGUUUUCAGCACUGGAUUGCACUCAGAUGUCAACUCUACCUUCUUUACUGGGACCCAGGGAAGCACCUACUCUGCAGGGUGCCAAUACCAAUAGGGUGCUGUACAUGUUUUACUCUGCAGGGUGCUAGUCCUCCGUUGUUUUAGACUAAGCUCCUGAACUGAACCCCAGUAGACCAGACUGAAAAUAACAGUGGAGUCAUCCACAGCUGAGUUCCAGAGCACCAAACCAUAGCCAAGAUAGCUGAUCCUCAUGGUGUAUGGGCCAGGCUGUUUGUGCAACGACCAAGCAGGCUUCAUUGUACCCUGAGGCUCCAUAUCAUGUAAGAAAUGCUUCUCCCGUGGGAAAGCCCCGCCUCUGAGCCCAUUAAUAUUUACCCAGCAUGGCAUACUUGGCAGCACAGAAUGGCGAUUCUUACACAAUGUAAAAUCGUUCUCUCUUUGGUUUCCAUUUUUCUUGGGCAAUGUGCCCUGGCAGA